rnacentral:misc_RNA from 1 species
GAUGAAGAACGUAGCGAAAUGCGAUAAGUAGUGUGAAUUGCAGAAUUCAGUGAAUCAUCGAAUCUUUGAACGCACAUUGCUCCCCUUGGUAUCCCGAGGGGCAUGCCUGUUCGAGCGUCAUUUCACCACUCAAGCCUGGCUUGGUGUUGGGCGACGUCCCCUUUAGGGACGCGCCUCGAAACGCUCGGCGGCGUGGCACCGGCUUUAAGCGUAGCAGAAUCUUUCGCUUUGGAAGUCGGGGCCCCGCCUGCCGGAAUACCUACUCGUACGGUUGACCUCGGAUCAGGCAGGGAUACCCUCUGAACUUAAGCAUAUCAAUAAGCGGAGGA